rnacentral:misc_RNA from 1 species
GAUGAAGAACGCAGCGAAAUGCGAUAAGUAAUGUGAAUUGCAGGAUUCAGUGAAUCAUCGAAUCUUUGAACGCACAUUGCGCCCGCGAGUAUUCUCGCGGGCAUGCCUGUCCGAGCGUCAUUUCAACCCUCAGGGCCCGCCUGCUUGCAGGCGCGGCGCUGGUGUUGGGGAUCGGCCCUAAACCGCCGUCCCCCAAAUUCAGUGGCGGUCUCGCUGCAGCCUCCCCUGCGUAGUAGCAACACUCGCAUGCGGAGCGCGGCGCGGCCACGCCGUAAAACCCCCGACUUUCUGAACGUUGACCUCGGAUCAGGUAGGAAUACCCGCUGAACUUAAGCAUAUCAAUAAGCGGAGGA